rnacentral:rRNA from 1 species
AUUGAGCGCUGGCGGCAGGCCUAACUCAUGCAAGUCGGACGGUAGCACAGAGAGCUUGCUCUCGGGUGACGAGUGGCGGAGGGGUGAGUAAUGUCUGGGAAACUGCCCGAUGGAGGGGGAUAACUACUGGAAACGGUAGCUAAUACCGCAUAACGUCGCAAGACCAAAGUGGGGGACCUUCGGGCCUCACACCAUCGGAUGUGCCCAGAUGGGAUUAGCUAGUAGGUGGGGUAAUGGCUCACCUAGGCGACGAUCCCUAGCUGGUCUGAGAGGAUGACCAGCCACACUGGAACUGAGACACGGUCCAGACUCCUACGGGAGGCAGCAGUGGGGAAUAUUGCACAAUGGGCGCAAGCCUGAUGCAGCCAUGCCGCGUGUAUGAAGAAGGCCUUCGGGUUGUAAAGUACUUUCAGCGGGGAGGAAGGCGGUGGAGUUAAUAACUUCACCGAUUGACGUUACCCGCAGAAGAAGCACCGGCUAACUCCGUGCCAGCCGCCGCCGUAA